UAUCAUUCACCGCUUGUAUCUAACUUAUAUAUUUUCUACAGUCAAACUUCAAAAUAUGUAUAGUAUUAAAUAUUAAAAAUAAUUUUAACGCUUUGAAGAAAGCAAUGAAUAAAUCUAUUGUAUUUAGAAAUAAUUUAUUCACCGUAUAAACCUAAUUUUAUAAAUAAAUUUUUUUAAAGACUAUUUUUAUAAUUAUAAUAUUUUACAAGUCUAUAAAUAAAAAAUUUCUAUAUUUAUAUAAUUUACGUUAAUAAAAUUAUGUAAGGACUGAGAUUUUGCAUUAGAGCUUGUUAAGUAUUUUGUGUUGGCAAGUUUCGUUAAUUGAGUCGGAGUCUUGAAGGAUCGGUGCGUAUCGUCGAAGAUCGAAGAAUCCAAGAUUUCGAAUAAAUCGGAAAAUAACUCACGACGUGAAUCACGAUGCUCAGGUAAGUUUGUAAUUCAUGAUAUAGUGAUUCAUACUUAGUUGUAGGUAUUAGAAUCAUAAAAUCAAAGUUUAGUGGAUGAGAAAGUGCGUCGGAA
rnacentral:lncRNA from 1 species